rnacentral:rRNA from 1 species
GUCCACGCCCUAAACGAUGGAUACUAGACGUAAGAGGUAUCGACCCCUCUUGUGUCGCAGCUAACGCACUAAGUAUCCCGCCUGGGGAGUACGGCCGCAAGGUUGAAACUCAAAUGAAUUGACGGGGACCCCGCACAAGCGGUGGAGCAUGUGGAUUAAUUCGAUACUAACCGAAGAACCUUACCCAGGUUUGACAUUGAUGGUAAGCCUAUGAAAGUAGGCCCUCUCCCACAAGGAGACCAGAAAACACUUGUUGCAUGGCUGUCGU